ACGAGCGCUGGCGGCAUGCCUAACACAUGCAAGUCGAACGAGAUCUUCGGGUCUAGUGGCGCACGGGUGCGUAACGCGUGGGAAUCUGCCCUCAGGUUCGGAAUAACCAUUGGAAACGAUGGCUAAUACCGGAUGAUGACGUUAAGUCCAAAGAUUUAUCGCCUGAGGAUGAGCCCGCGCAGGAUUAGCUAGUUGGUGUGGUAAAGGCGCACCAAGGCGACGAUCCUUAGCUGGUCUGAGAGGAUGAUCAGCCACACUGGGACUGAGACACGGCCCAGACUCCUACGGGAGGCAGCAGUGGGGAAUAUUGGACAAUGGGCGCAAGCCUGAUCCAGCAAUGCCGCGUGAGUGAUGAAGGCCUUAGGGUUGUAAAGCUCUUUUACCCGGGAUGAUAAUGACAGUACCGGGAGAAUAAGCCCCGGCUAACUCCGUGCCAGCAGCCGCGGUAAUACGGAGGGAGCUAGCGUUGUUCGGAAUUACUGGGCGUAAAGCGCACGUAGGCGGCUUUGUAAGUUAGAGGUGAAAGCCUGGAGCUCAACUCCAG
rnacentral:rRNA from 1 species